UUCAUCUAAAAACAUAAAAUCAACAAUCAAAAACAAUAAAAAAAAAGACUGUCAAAUAAAAGUGGAGAAGGCUUGUCUAAAGAGGAAAGUUUUCAAACCAGUUUUAAAAUCGGACAAUGAUUGCGGGGCUCUCAAAUAGUCCGGGAGAGAGUUCCAUAAAUGCUAAGUCUG